rnacentral:rRNA from 1 species
AUCCAGACUCCUACGGGAGGCAGCAGUGGGGAAUAUUGCACAAUGGGGGAAACCCUGAUGCAGCGACGCCGCGUGAGUGAAGAAGUAUUUCGGUAUGUAAAGCUCUAUCAGCAGGGAAGAAGUUGACGGUACCUGAGUAAGAAGCCCCGGCUAACUACGUGCCAGCAGCCGCGGUAAUACGUAGGGGGCAAGCGUUAUCCGGAUUUACUGGGUGUAAAGGGAGCGUAGACGGCAGUGCAAGUCUGAAGUGAAAGCCCCGGGCUUAACCCGGGAAUUGCUUUGGAAACUGUACGGCUGGAGUGCUGGAGAGGUAAGCGGAAUUCCUAGUGUAGCGGUGAAAUGCGUAGAUACUGGGAGGAACACCAGUGGCGAAGGCGGCUUACUGGACAGUAACUGACGUUGAGGCUCGAAAGCGUGGGGAGCAAACAGGAUUAGAUACCCUCGUA